UGGGGAAUAUUGCACAAUGGAGGGAAAUCUGAUGCAGCGACGCCGCGUGAACGAAGAAGGCUUGCGAGUCGUAAAGUUCUUUUAUAUGGGAAGAUAAUGACGGUACCAUAAGAAAAAGCCCCGGCUAACUACGUGCCAGCAGCCGCGGUAAUACGUAGGGGGCUAGCGUUGUCCGGAAUCACUGGGCGUAAAGGGUUCGCAGGCGGAAAUGCAAGUCAGGUGUAAAAGGCAGUAGCUUAACUACUGUAAGCAUUUGAAACUGCAUAUCUUGAGAAGAGUAGAGGUAAGUGGAAUUUUUAGUGUAGCGGUGAAAUGCGUAGAUAUUAAAAAGAAUACCGGUGGCGAAGGCGGCUUACUGGGCUCAUUCUGACGCUGAGGAACGAAAGCGUGGGUAGCAAACAGG
rnacentral:rRNA from 1 species